AUUCAGCUGACGAGUCCCAAAUAGGACGAAACGUGCAUGCUAGAU
rfam:Schistosoma rodhaini strain Burundi genome assembly, scaffold: SROB_scaffold0017426